AAAUAUUAAAUGUUCUUAAAAUAGAGCAAUUUUUAAAUUGUAAUAAUACAUGUAUUAAUACUGCACCAAAUAUUGUCAAAUUACUUCCACGCAUUGGUCGAUUCAAACGUAUACAAGAGAACAUUGCAACUGAAGAUGAUGUUAAGUUAAUCGAAUACUUAAAGGACAAUGCCAUCACAAUCUUAAGUCAUUUUGAGGAAAAUGAUGAAUUGACCAAUAGCAUUCAAUCAAAGUUAGCAAGAACUGUUAUAGACAGAGAGAAAAAGAAAGUUCUUCGGGACAAUAAUUUUUAUGUCCUAGAUAAGUUUUGUUCGUCUAUUGGGUACAACAAUUUCAUAGACUAUUCGGGGACUGUCCAGAAAUAUACUUCGUACCUUAUGUAAGCAUCAACCGGACAAAAUUAAACGCCACUGGAAAGUUAUGGGACAAUUUUAACCAUGUGAAGGGUGUGAUGCGCCGAGAAGGUCUUAUGAAAGAUAAGCGAACUGUAUUUCAAAAUAAUGCACUACAACCA